rfam:Microgenomates (Levybacteria) bacterium GW2011_GWB1_39_7 TT56_C0001, whole genome shotgun sequence.
GCCGAAGUGGCGAAAUUGGUAGACGCGCACGGUUUAGGACCGUGUGGGGAAACCCUUGGAGGUUCGAUUCCUCUCUUCGGCA